rnacentral:rRNA from 1 species
UACGUAGGGUGCAAGCGUUGUCCGGAAUUAUUGGGCGUAAAGAGCUCGUAGGCGGCUUGUCGCGUCGAAUGUGAAAUCUCAGGGCUCAACUCUGACAUUGCAUUCGAUACGGGCAGGCUAGAGUUCGGUAGGGGAGACUGGAAUUCCUGGUGUAGCGGUGAAAUGCGCAGAUAUCAGGAGGAACACCGGUGGCGAAGGCGGGUCUCUGGGCCGAUACUGACGCUGAGGAGCGAAAGCGUGGGAGCGAACAGG